AUGUAUCACGCGUACACUCCGGUUUCUGCGCGCCCCCCGCACCGACCUGACGACUGGUCGCUACGUGGUGUGAGCC
rnacentral:sRNA from 1 species